rnacentral:rRNA from 1 species
GAUGAACGCUAGCUGGAGGCUUAAUACAUGCAAGUCGAGCGGGGUUACCCAGCAAUGGGUAUGAGAGCGGCGCACGGGUGAGUAACGCGUACACGACCUACCUCUAACAGGGGGAUAGCCCUGGGAAACCGGGAUUAAUACCGCAUAUAAUUCUGAUUUUAAAAGGUUGGAAUGAAAGUUCAGGCGGUUAGAGAUGGGUG